CAGCGCCACAAGUGGGGGCCAUGUUUAUUGGGCCUAAAGCGUUCGUAGCCGGUUUGAUAAAUCUCUUGUGAAAUCGUUUGGCUCAACCAAACGGCGAGCAGGAGACACUAUCAAACUUGAGACCGGGAAGGGUUAGAGGUAUGCUUGGGGGAGCGGUAAAAUGCUAUAAUCCCUUGCAGACCAAUGGUGGCGAAGGCGUCUAACUAGAACGGAUCUGACGGUGAGGGACGAAAGCCAGGGGAGCAAUCCGGAUUAGAUACCCGAGUAGUCC
rnacentral:rRNA from 1 species